AUGCACUCCAGUCUCUGCCUUUGUCAUUCACUGGACUUGUGCCUAUGCAUCUUCACGUCCUUUGUUUCUCUACAGGUCUUCAGACAAACUCAACCAAUUGUCAACAAGAAAAUGUCUAAAUUCACCUAUAGCCUGGAAGCUCCCCUGCUGUGCUCUGGCUUUGAAUUGCCCCCUUUCUGGACUAAACCAAUAUAUUUCUUAAAUGUAUUUGAUUGAUGUCUCAUGCCUCUCUAAAAUGUAUAAAUCCAAGCUGCGCCCCUACCACCUUGGACACCUGUUCUCAAAACGUCCUGAGGGCUGUGUCCUAUGCCAUAGUCACUCAUAUUUGGCUCAGAAUAAAUCUCUUUAAACAUUUUACAGAGUUUGAUUAUUUUCACCAACACUAUGUCCUUGCAUUGCCUUUAUUUUGUGCAUGAAUAUCUUCGGUUUCUGUUUCUUUUCUGUCUUUUUUUUUUCUUAAGAGUUGGGGUCUCAUCCUGUCACCAAGGCUAGAGUGCAGUAAAGGGAUCAUACACGCACUGUAACCUAAAACUCCUGGGAUCAAGUGAUCCUCUCACCUCAGUCUCCCAAGUAGCUGUGUUUCUCUUCUUACAAGAUCACCAGUCAUAUGAAAUUAGGAUUCCACCCUACAGACAUCAUUUUAACUCAGUUAUAUCUUAGGAGAUCCUAUCUCCAAAUAUAGUCACAUGGAUUAGGACCCAAUCCAUAUGACCUUAUUUAACCUUAAUUACUUUUUUAAAGAUCCUAUUUCCUAAUACAAUUAAAUUAUUAUGUACUUUUAGAUUGGUGCAAAAGUAAUUUGGUUUUGAAUAUUAAUGGCUUUGUAAUAGAGUUUAACACUUAAAUAUAUGAAUUUUGGUGAGGGGUGGGGGGCAGCACGAUUCAGCCUAUAGGUGUCAUGACACCUAUAAUUUGGUAAUUUAAGGCUACUAUAAAGUAUUCAUAUUUUGGCAUAUGACAGCAAGAAUACAAGGAUGUUCUAUCUUUUCCAAAUUGUCCAGAUACUGACACUUGUGUCUAAUCAUAUAGCAAAAUGGCUGUAAUAGAAUUUCUCAUUUUUUACCCACGCAAAGAUCCAAUCAUUGGAAAGUAAACUCCAUGGGUCAGGAUGUGGAAAAACAGGUACUUAACUUGUUGAUAGAGGGAACAUAACGUUACAAUCCCUAUGAAAGACAAUUUGGCAAACUCUAGGAAACUUACAUAGCAUUUCCAAUCAGAAAUCAUUGUACUUUCAUUCAGAAAACUACUUCAAAGAAUAUUUUUCAAAAAUAUGCUACCAAAUGUCUAAAAAUAAUAAUCAAGACAACCCAUUGCACUAAUCUUUAUUUUAUUUUACUAGUAUUAAAAUAUUGAAAAUAACUAAAAAAUAUUAAUAUGAGACAGUUAAAGAAACCAUGGUAUAUUUACAUAAUAAACAAUUAUGCAACUGGAAAAAGGAAUUAAGAACAUAUCCAUGUAUUGCUGUGACUCAGGAUAUAUCACCGUGAGAAAGCAGGGUUGAAGACAUUGUGUAUGGAGUGCUACUACUUAUUUAAUAAAUUAUAUAAAUUAUUUCAAAUUUUAAAAUGGCUAUCGAUAGAAGGAGUAGAGUUAUGUCGGAAUGAACAGAAAAAAAUUACCAUUUGCAAAGAUAACUUUUUUGUUUUUUAAAGCUUUAUUGGGCUAUAAUUGACAUCCAAUAAACUAUGCAUAUUUAAACUGUACCAUAUACUAAGUUUUGAAUAUGUACAUGUUUAUAAAACCAUCACCCAAUCAGGGUAAUAAACAUAUCCAUCACCCUCAGAAGUUUAUUUGUUAACUCACCAUCUCCCUUUUUUUCAUAUACCCCACACAUUUCCAAACAACCACUUCUAUCAUGUUUUCUGUCACUAUAAAUCAUUGUAUUUUCUAAAAUUAUAUUUGAACAUAACCAUGUAGUAUAUAAUUUUGUUUUGUCUGGCUUCUUUCAAUGAGAAUAACUAUUUUAAUAUUUAACUAUAUUGUUGCAUGUAUUGAUAAGUCAUUCAUUUUAUUUCUCAGUAGUAUGCCUUUAUAUUACCAUACCACAAUUUGUUAUUCAUUCACAUGUUGAUGGAUAUUUGGGUUGCUUCCAGUUUGGGGCUAUUACAAAUAAAGCUAGCGUGAACAUAUGCACACAGGCCAAUGUAUGAAAUGUGGUUUUGUUUCUCUUGGUAAAAUACCUAGGAGUGAAAUGGACAGGUCAUACAGUACAGAUAUGUUUUAUUUUUUAAGAAACUGCCUGUAAUCUAAGGAUCAUUGAGUGUCAGCUUGAUUGGAUUUAAGGAUGCAAAGUAUUGUUUCUGGGUGUGUCUGUGAGGGUGCUGUCAAAGGAGUUUAAAAUUUGAGUCCGUGGACUGGGAGAGGCAGGCCCACCCUUAAACUGGGUGGGUACCAUCUAAUUAGCUGCCAGCUUGGCUGGAAUAAAGCAAGCAGAAGAUGUGAAGGGAAGACUUGCUGAAUCUUAUGGCCCUCAUCUUUCUCCAAUCCUGGAUGCUUCCUGCCCUCAAACAUCAGAAUCCAAAUUCUCCAUUUUUUGGACUCUUGGACUUACACCAGUGAUUUGCUAGUAGCUCUCGGGCCUUCGGCUGAGGCUGAAGACUGAAGCCUGCACUGUCAAAUUCCUUACUUUUGAGGUUUUGGGAUUGAGACUGGCUUCCUUGCGCCUCUGCUUGCAAAAGGCCUACUCUGGGACUUCACCUUGUGAUUGUGUGAGUCAAUACUCCUUAAUAAACUCCCCUUCAUAUAUACAUCUAUCCUACUAGUUCUGUUCCUCUAGAGAACUCUAAUACACUGCCAAACGGUUGUACCAAAAAAGCAGUUGUGCAAUGAGCAGCUUAUGAGAGAGUUUCCAUAUCCUGCAGCAACAAAUACAUCUCAAAAACUUCAAAGACUUAUAACUAUAAAAAUUACAUCUCUCGCAAACAUUGCAUAGGGUGAUCACAUAGGGAAAUUAAGGUAUUAGUUUCCAAAGAGGAAAAGGAAACUAGGGGGGAACAAGAAAUGUAUGUGUACCACAGAAAUCUCAGUAAUAUAACUAAUAUCAUUAGCCUAGAAAAUAACAGAAACAUAGUUGGAAAGUCUCCAAACUCUUGGAAACUAAAUAAGACACUUUUAGAUAAUCCCUGACUCAAAGAGAAAGUCUUAAAGGAACUUAAAAAAAUGCAUUGAAUGUGAAUAAAAAUGAGAAUAUAAUGAAAGUUGUGGACCUAACUGUAGUAGUGCUGAGGGAAAUGUCUAGCAUUGAAUACAUACAUUAAAAUAGAAAUCUCACAUUAGUAAUCUAAGGUCAGACCUUAAGGAGCUAGAAAAAGAAGAGAAAAAUAAUUCCAAAGAGAUCUUAAGGAAGAAAAUAAUAAAGGUAACCUCAGAAACCAGUAAAAUUGAAAGUAGAAAAACAUUAGAGAAAAUCAAUGAAACAAAGUCUUGUUCUUUGAAAUGUCAAUAAAGUUGUCAAACUCCUAUCAAGACUGAAAAAGAAAAAACCAACAAAUUAUCAAUAUUAGGAAUGAAACAGGAGAUACAAAUACAGACCAUGCAGAAAUAAAAAGGCUAAUUUAGGAAGACUAUGAACAACUCUACACUAUACAUUUGAGAAUGCAAACAAAAUGAGUCAAUUUCUCAAUAAACAAAAACUAGCACAACUUACACAAUAUUUAGUAGAUAACCUGAAAUAUUCUAAUAUUAGUAAGAAACUUAUAUUUGUAAUUAAUAAAUUUCCAAAAAGAAAUCUCCAAGUUGAGAUGGCUUUGUUGGAGAAUUCUACCAAAUGUUUUAAGAAUUAACAAAAUUUUUUCUCAGUCUCUUUCAGAAACUUGAAAUGAAGGAAUAAUUCUCAAUUCAUUUGGUGAAGUUAGUGUAACCCAAUACAAAAAGUAGACAAAGACCGCACAAGAAAGGAAAACUAUAGGCAAAUAUCUCUCCUAAAUACAGACGCAAAAAUUCUUAAAAUAUUAGCAGUUAGAAUCAGCAUUAUCAAAUAAUUUAUAUUCUGAUCAACUGGAAACCAGGAAAUAGAACAAAAUGACAAAAAUGAGACAAUAAAGAGGUCAUGAAAUAAUUGAAAAUGAAACAAUGUAAUCUCCAAACAGAUACAUAUGCAAUCUCAGUUUGUGUUACAAAACACAACUCAAUCUUGAGCUGUCUGUUAUAGACUCAAGAAAAAUUGAUUUAACAAGGUCAAGAGACAAAAAGGAUGGGCAAAAUUAUAACAUUCAAAUACAGACAAAACAAAUUGGGAUUCAUACUAAUAUUAAAUAAACCAGAGUUCCAGGUUAAAAAAAUUAAAGGACAUACAGCAAGAAGCUUUUGUUGAAGAUAUCAUGACCAUAUUUAGGCAGCUUGCAAUAAAAUAUAUAAGACAAAAACUGUUGGAAACAUAAUAAAUUUAAAGAAAUACAAAAAAAUGGCAAGACUUUAAUCUUUGUCAGUCCUUGAUUAUUCAAAGUAAAUGCAGAGGGUUGUGGUAUAAGUCUUAAGGAUUCAAGCAAAAACUAAAUUAGGUAAAACUUAAAUAAAUAUAAUGGAUCACAAGGUCAGAAGCUCCAGACCAGCCUGACCACCAUGGCAAAAUCCCGUCUCUACUAAAAAUACAAAAUUUAGCUGAGUGUGGUGGUACAUGCCUGUAACCAGGAGGCUGAGACAGAAAAUUGCUUGAAUCUGGGAGGCGGAGAUUGCAGUGAGCCGAUAUACUACCACUGCACUCCAGCCUGGGUGACAGAAUGCGACUAUCUCAAAAAAAAAAAAAAAAAAGAAAAAAAUUUCCCUAUGCUAAGAAGUUCUAUAAGCUAAGAAGAUUGUAAAGACCUUCAAAUCUUCCAAAGAGUCAAGGAUAAAUUCCAAAAGUGAAUUCUGUGGAGUAAUGGAAAAUAAAUUAUACUAAAUCCCAGAAGUCAUGGAUUCUUUCUUACUCCUAUAAACUGUAUUUGUGCAAGCCACUUAACCUUUCUCAGCCUCUAUUCCUGUUCUGUAUAAAAAGGAAAUAGCAAUGUCUUUUUCCCAAAGUUGUUAUGAAUGUUGAAAUAAAAUGAAAAUAUAAAAAGUUUCUGUGUGCCUGAUGAGCUUCU
ensembl:lncRNA